UACACUCCUGCGGGAGGCAGCAGUGGGGAAUUUUGGACAAUGGGCGAAAGCCUGAUCCAGCAAUGCCGCGUGUGUGAAGAAGGCCUUCGGGUUGUAAAGCACUUUUGUCCGGAAAGAAAUCCUUGGCUCUAAUACAGUCGGGGGAUGACGGUACCGGAAGAAUAAGCACCGGCUAACUACGUGCCAGCAGCCGCGGUAAUACGUAGGGUGCGAGCGUUAAUCGGAAUUACUGGGCGUAAAGCGUGCGCAGGCGGUUUGCUAAGACCGAUGUGAAAUCCCCGGGCUCAACCUGGGAACUGCAUUGGUGACUGGCAGGCUAGAGUAUGGCAGAGGGGGGUAGAAUUCCACGUGUAGCAGUGAAAUGCGUAGAGAUGUGGAGGAAUACCGAUGGCGAAGGCAGCCCCCUGGGCCAAUACUGACGCUCAUGCACGAAAGCGUGGGGAGCAAACAGGAUUAGAAACCCGAGUAGUCCCAUG
rnacentral:rRNA from 1 species